UCCUACCUGCAUCUGAGUCGAGCUCAAUGAAUAUAUUUUCGCUCGGCGGCAAAAGCGUCCCGAUGUAGUUCGCUUCGUCCGCAACGUUUCUUUUCGGCCGGGCCAGUGGCACGGCCAGCUCUGGAUCUUUCUUUAACAAAAGUUCCAAGAAGGAAACGACGCUCAGACAGGCAUGCCCGCCGGAAUACCGACGGGCGCAAUGUGCGUUCAAGAACUCGAUGAUUCACGAUGGCUGCAAUUCACACUAGGUAUCGCAUUUCGCUGCGCUCUUCAUCGAUGCGAGAACCAAGAGAUCCGUUGUUGAAAGUUUUGUAUUUUUUUUUUUU
rnacentral:misc_RNA from 1 species